rnacentral:rRNA from 1 species
UACGUAGGGUGCGAGCGUUGUCCGGAAUUAUUGGGCGUAAAGAGCUCGUAGGCGGCUUGUCGCGUCGAAUGUGAAAACUUGGGGCUCAACUCCAAGCUUGCAUUCGAUACGGGCAGGCUAGAGUUCGGUAGGGGAGACUGGAAUUCCUGGUGUAGCGGUGAAAUGCGCAGAUAUCAGGAGGAACACCGAUGGCGAAGGCAGGUCUCUGGGCCGAUACUGACGCUGAGGAGCGAAAGCGUGGGGAGCAAACAGG